UUAAGCAGGAUGUGAANUCCCCGGGCUCAACCUGGGAACUGCGUUNUGAACUGGGUGACUAGAGUGUNUCAGAGGGAGGUAGAAUUCCACGUGUAGCAGUGAAAUGCGUAGAGAUGUGGAGGAAUACCGAUGGCGAAGGCAGCCUCCUGGGAUAACACUGACGUUCAUGCUCGAAAGCGUGGGUAGCAAACAGGAUUAGAUACCCUGGUAGUCCACGCCCUAAACGAUGUCAAUUAGCUGUUGGGCAACUUGAUUGCUUAGUAGCGUAGCUAACGCGUGAAAUUGACCGCCUGGGGAGUACGGUCGCAAGAUUAGAACUCAAAGGAAUUGACGGGGACCCGCACAAGCGGUGGAUGAUGUGGAUUAAUUCGAUGCAACGCGAAGAACCUUACCUGGUCUUGACAUGUACGGAAUCCUCCAGAGACGGAGGAGUGCCUUCGGGAGCCGUAACACAGGUGCUGCAUGGCUGUCGUCAGCUCGUGUCGUGAGAUGUUGGGUUAAGUCCCGCAACGAGCGCAACCCUUGUCAUUAGUUGCCAUCAUUUAGUUGGGCACUCUAAUGAGACUGCCGGUGACAAGCCGGAGGAAGGUGGGGAUGACGUCAAGUCCUCAUGGCCCUUAUGACCAGGGCUUCACACGUCAUACAAUGGUCGGUACAGAGGGUAGCCAAGCCGCGAGGUGGAGCCAAUCUCACAAAACCGAUCGUAGUCCGGAUUGCACUCUGCAACUCGAGUGCAUGAAGUCGGAAUCGCUAGUAAUCGCAGGUCAGCAUACUGCGGUGAAUACGUUCCCGGGUCUUGUACACACCGCCCGUCACACCAUGGGAGUGGGGGAUACCAGAAGUAGGUAGGGUAACCGCAAGGAGCC
rnacentral:rRNA from 1 species